UAUUUGCAAUUCGUAUUAAAAUGAAAAAUUUGUAUUUGCAUUCAUGAAUGAAAAAUAAACAUCCUUUCCAUAUACCUGUUGUCCAAAGACAUUAGUAGUCUUAUAACAGCUGGAGAAUCUUGGGAUCCAAGGGUUAAUGCUGACAAGACAAAAAUUGUUAGUUUCAGUGCCCACCUUUUUGUCAUCUUUGAUUUCAGUUUGUAUUCUGCCUACCAAAUUAAUGGCAAACCACUCUGCAUAAGUCUCAGUGUUGUUGAUCUUAGUAUUAUAGUUGACUCAACUCUGAGGCACCACAAUUGCAUCUGCUCUGUUGCUUCCAAAGCAGCUGGUUUAGCCAACAAUUUGUUAAAGUAUACUGUGCUGCUCCCCCAAAUUUAUGGUUACCCUCCUUAUUACCCACAUAUGACCACUUCUGUAGUGUGGAUCUAAUGUCUGGAAUACUGGUUAUGUCACUGACCUAAAGCUGCUAGAAUCAGUACAGCGACAGUGGACAAAAAGGAUUCAAGGUCUCAAGAAUACAUCACAUGCUCAGCGUCUUAUGGAUCUGGACUUAUUUUCAGUGAAGGAGAGACUGUUACGGGCUGACCUUAUUAAAUGUUGGAGAAUUUUUCAUUGUCUCCCGAAUUUCUCCUACUGAUUUAUUUACUUUGACUCCUACUAUUGGCACAAGAAGACAUCCUUACAAAAUCCUUGUUCUUAACAGUUAUCACGUGAUGUCAAGCAUUGAUUCUUUUCAGUCAGAGUGGUGAAAGUCUGGAACCUCCUUCCUAUCUGUAUCAGUAUCAGAUUCUCCUGAUAGAUUUAAGAAGGGACUGACUAAUUUCUUGGAUGACUGCCUAUUUGAUAUCUGCUGCUUAUCUGCCUGUUAUACCUCUGACAGUUGUUCUGGGCUUAUGGCACACUUUGCAGCCUUUUUUUUUUUAUUAUUAACAUUAAUUGGUGUUUGUCUUUAGGGUUGUCAUGCUAGCUGUGAUGGAGUUCCCUCUUGGGACCCCAACCAGCUGGCCUUGCUUUGAUAAAUUGGACCAGCUCACACCAUUAUAUCAAAGCCAGAAUGGAAGAUACAGCAGCAGUUUCUGCAGCUGAAGCUGGUUGGCAGAAAUCAUCACAAGGUAUCUGAUAAUUGUACUCCACCUACAUCUGACAAAUAACUUAAGUAUUCUAUGUACAUCUCCUUUCCAUGGUCAUUACAGUUAUUAGACUAGUUAUUCUUUGGAGAAACUGUUGAAAUUAAAUUUUUUUUUAGUUUCCUUUAGAUUAAUUUUAAUGAAAUGUAAUAUUGUUGGCUCAUUCCUUAGAUAGAAGGAUACUUUGCCUAAACGUUUGUGCUCCAUCAUUGUAUAUUCCUUUGUAUGGCAUGACUGCUUCAUCAGGUAUAUUGCUUCUAGGUUUCAGAACCUAAGAUUGAGAAUAUUUGAGCACAAAGGAUUACAAGUAUCUUUUAGAACCACCAAAUCCAUAACUCACCCAAUUUUUUUUUCCAAUAUUACAGAACAUACAGUAGCAUUAAAUCUUCAUAUGAAAAAAAAAUAAAUAAAUUUUUUGAUUAAGGCAAAUAGUGAAACAGAUCUCAGAAUAGCCAAAUCUUUAUUAAUCCAUCAAUAUAGACUUCAAUUGAACUCUAAUGACACUUCCAAAUUAAUAGUCUUAAUAAUACAAGAUCAUUCUUUUGUGUAUUCUUCCUUGUUUAGGUAAGGGCUGUACUUGCUUUGUUUUUGUUUAGGCUUAGUGUCACUUGGGUGUAACUAGUGGUGGUUUUGUAGUGUCACUUGGGUGUAACUAGUGGUGGUUUUGUUGGUGCGACACAUGUCCCCCAACAUUGGGCUAGCAGGUCAGUCACUUACCCUAUCUCUUCUAGAGAAGUGGUCUUAUUUUUUAGUGUUGAUGGUUUGAAGAUGUGAUUCCUUUAAUUCCCAAAACAACCGUUAAGUGCCAGUAUUAUGCCUCUAAAUCUUCCUCUACAACUUUAGAUUCCAAGUAGCCAAGCCCUUCUCACAAGUAUCUACCUCAUACACCACUCAGUAGACUAUACAGUGUGAGUGUAGAGGGACAAAGUGGAUGUGAACUAAAUAAAGUCUCUGGAACACAUGUAAGAUUAUUGGUGGUGUAAUAAUAAGUAAAGGUUUUGAUGUUUGGUAUUUGUGACUAAAUUUUUAACAAUUUUUUAUAUAUCUGAUGCUUUUUAUUAAUUUUUGCUUUCUAAAAGUGUCACAAAAAAUACCAAACAACUUUUUUAUAUAUCUGACGCUUUUUAUUAUUAAUUUUUGCUUUCUACAUUUAUCUGAAAGUUUUAAUGUGACCAGAGGGUUUGUGUAUUUCACUUCACUACCACUCACUACCACCUUCCAGUUAAAACCAAAGCAUUUUGACCAGAAAUGACACACGUUUUCCUCUUUUACAUCUGCCUUAAAAUGCCUUGGAAACACUAUUAUUAUUAUUGUUAUUAAUCAAUUGAAAAAAAAGUUAUAAAUACAAUAUGAAUAAUCAUACUUUAUUAAAUAGUCAUGUUAUUGUUCACAUACUGAUGUAUACCUAAUUGAGUAUUACAGUUAUUGACUAUUAUUACAGCAGUCUGUUCUUUCAUCUGUUUUUCAUUUCAGUGAUGUGCUUGCCUGUAAGCAUGUCAUGUGUCAUCAGGUAGCUUGGUCUUCAUUUCACGAGGUUUGACAAUGCAAUGAUAGGUGAGGAAAUAAAUUUGUUUCCUUGAUUUACUUACAAACACAGAUUAGAGGGAGUUGUGUGUGUGUGUGUGUGUGUGUGUGUGUAUUAGCUUUCAAGAUAAGGAAAGAAGUAGAUCGUUGAGGCACAAGAUGAGAGUCAAGUUUAUAAGCAUGGAGGUAUAAAAAUGGUCUGUAAUAAUUAUCAAGAAAUGAAGGACUGAGAUUUAUGAUCCAAGUAGUUGAAAUUAGUUACUUGAGAAACGUCUGGUAUGCCAGGAAUGGAUAACUUGAGUAAUAAUGAUUGUAUACCAGAUAUGCAUUGUCAAGUAAAGGAAAAGGGAUGAAAUGUUGAGCGGUUGAUAGGUCUAAAAACCUAGACAUUUUGCCACAUGGAGAGAGAAAAAAAAAAGGCAGAAAAGUGAGAUGCUGAGUGUGUAGAAGUUUGGCAAACAUUGUUAGAGGUGAUGAAUUUGUUCUUGAGCCUAAAACAAGCACUGAAAAGGAAAACACAAGAACCAAGGAAAGUUAAACCAUUUAAGUUGAAGCAUGCUGAACUUGGCUGGCAGUUUAAAGCAAGUGUGUUGAAGGAGAUUACAAAAUAGAAGACGUAGAUGAAUGGUGGAGUAGAAUAUCAAGGAAUUAUGUGAGAUGUGGAAAGGAAAUCUCGGAGAGAGCUGUGAGAAAAUAUAGGGAAAUAAGGAAACUUGGUUCAAUGAGGACAAAAAAAACAAGUAGUGGAAGGAAACUCAAUGGGAAAAUACCACCCAACAAAGGUAGGAGCAAGGAAGAUAAGAACACAGGAAUCAAGAAAGGACAAGGAAAGAUUUCAGUUUAGCAAAAACAAGACGAGAACCAAGGACACAACGCACAUUAGAGAAAUCAAUGGUAAGAAUGGAAGUGCUCAGUGAAGAAAGCGACAUGGUUAUGAGAUGGAAAUAUUAUUUUGAGCACCUAUUUAAGGAGAAGAAUGAAAAGAACUUUAAGAGGAGACUGACUCCUAAAUUAUGGAGUUGUUACUGGUAUAACAAGGGGAGAGGUUAAAGAAGCUCUGAUGAUGAUGAUGAAUGGCAAAGCAGCUGGGCCAAAGGGAAUUGAUGGAUAAGGGAAUGAUACCUAGGAAAUGGACAGCGAGUACAGUCUUUUAAUUAAAAGAAAGAUGUUUUAAGAAAGAUGUGCAGUUUUAAGAAAGAUGUGUUUUAAGAAAGAUGUGCAGUUUUAAGAAAGAUGUGCAGAGUUGUGAAAACUAAUGAAGAAUCAAACAUAUGUUGUCACACACUGAAAAUAUUUAAGAGAUAGAAGACUGUGACAAGAAGUUAUCAGAAGGCAGCAGCUAUGAUUCAUGAAGGAUCUUAGCAUUGUUCAUGGAGUUAGUCUCUGCAACAUGUAAUGAAAAAGUACAGAGUGAAAAAGACAUACGACUGUCAUGAGUGCCAAGGGAAAAAGUGCCAGAAAAAUACAUCAGAGUGAUCAAGGAAAUUUGGAAGUGGAACAACUAGUUACAAGCACAACCAGAAUAACUGUCAAAGUUAAAAGUAGGACUACAUCAAGGAUCCACAUUUGUCCCCUUUUUAACAUCAUAACCAAAAAAGGAGAGGAACUGCAUAGGUGCUUGUUCUAUACAGGUAGUAUAUUACUUGUUUCCAAGAUUAAAGAAGAGCUUGAAAGGAGACUUGUGGGGUGGAGAUAUGCUCUGGAAAGCCGAGAAAUGAAAAUAAGCAGGACAAAUAAUACAUGACAAAUGUAAUGGAAUGAAGACCAGCAAGCAACUAUUAUUAAUUUAGGAGGAGUUUCAAGAAGGUGUUUGAAUUUAAGUAUCUUGUCAGUGAUAGAUACAGCUGGUGUGAUUGGCAAUUUCUUUGCCAAAUUCAAUGUAGCUGGAAAAUGUGGAGAAAAAGCAGCAGGCGUGCUUUGUGAUAGAAUACCUAUUAAACAAUUUCAGGGUAAAAUCCACAAGACUGUAUAGUGAGUGAGGCCUACUAUGAUUUACAAACUAGAACCAGUGCCUGUGAAGAAAUUGGAAGAAAGCAAGCUCAGUGUCGCAGAAAUGAAGAUGCUGAGACAGAUGAGUGGAGUUACCAGAAAGGACAGGAUAAAAAAUGUAAAAGAAUCAGUAAGUCAAUGAAGUGUCAAGGAAAGUUCAGGAAGCAAGGCUAAGAUGAUUUAGUCAUCUGAUAAGUGGAAAGAAUAUAUUACAAGGGAAAUAUAUUGGAUAUGGAAGUGAGGGGAAUAUGAAGAGAAAAGAAAAAUGUAAGAGGUCUGUGUCAGUAAGGACAUGGACAAAGGAUUAGAUAAAAAGAAGGAAUACAAGAGAAAAAAAGGAAUAAAAGAUAUUCCUAAAAAAGAAAUACAAGAGAAAAAAAAAGGAAUACAAGACAUUCCUGUCUCUUAGAGGAAUCCUC